rnacentral:tRNA from 1 species
GGAGAGGUGUCCGAGUGGUUUAAGGAGCUGGUCUUGAAAACCAGUGACCCGAAAGGGCCAAGAGUUCGAAUCUCUUCCUCUCCGCCA